UCAGGAUGAACGCUGGCGGCGUGCUUAACACAUGCAAGUCGAGCGAAGCGAUUCAAAUGAAGUUUCGGAUGGAUUUGAAUUGACUUAGCGGCGGACGGGUGAGUAACGCGUGGGUAACCUGCCUCAUACAGGGGGAUAACAGUUGGAAACGACUGCUAAUACCGCAUAAGCACACAGUGCCGCAGUGGUACGGUGUGAAAAACUCCGGUGGUAUGAGAUGGACCCGCGUCUGAUUAGGUAGUUGGUGAGGUAACGGCCCACCAAGCCGACGAUCAGUAGCCGACCUGAGAGGGUGACCGGCCACAUUGGGACUGAGACAUGGCCCAAACUCCUACGGGAGGCAGCAGUGGGGAAUAUUGGACAAUGGGGGAAACCCUGAUCCCAGCGACGCCGCGUGAGUGAAGAAGUAUUUCGGUAUGUAAAGCUCUAUCAGCAGGGAAGAAAAUGACGGUACCUGACUAAGAAGCCCCGGCCAACUACGUGCCAGCCGCCGC
rnacentral:rRNA from 1 species